rnacentral:rRNA from 1 species
ACGCUCGACACCUACGGGAAGCAGCAGUGGGGAAUAUUGCACAAUGGGGGAAACCCUGAUGCAGCGACGCCGCGUGAGUGAAGAAGUAUUUCGGUAUGUAAAGCUCUAUCAGCAGGGAAGAAAAUGACGGUACCUGACUAAGAAGCCCCGGCUAACUACGUGCCAGCAGCGCGGUAAUCUGAGGCGGGCGUGGCAAGGC